rnacentral:rRNA from 1 species
UACGUAGGGGGGCUAGCGUUGUCCGGAUUUAUUGGGCGUAAAGAGCGUGUAGGCGGCCAGGUAGGUCUGCUGUGAAAACUCGAGGCUCAACCUCGAGACGUCGGCGGAAACCAUCUGGCUAGAGUCCGGAAGAGGAGAGUGGAAUUCCUGGUGUAGCGGUGAAAUGCGCAGAUAUCAGGAAGAACACCCGUGGCGAAGGCGGCUCUCUGGGACGGUACUGACGCUGAGGCGCGAAAAGCGUGGGGGAGCGAACAGG